rnacentral:rRNA from 1 species
AUUGAACGCUGGCGGCAGGCCUAACACAUGCAAGCCGAACGGUAGCACAGAGGAGCUUGCUCCUUGGGUGACGAGUGGCGGACGGGUGAGUAAUGUCUGGGAAACUGCCCGAUGGAGGGGGAUAACUACUGGAAACGGUAGCUAAUACCGCAUAACGUCUUCGGACCAAAGUGGGGGACCUUCGGGCCUCACACCAUCGGAUGUGCCCAGAUGGGAUUAGCUAGUAGGUGGGGUAAUGGCUCACCUAGGCGACGAUCCCUAGCUGGUCUGAGAGGAUGACCGGCCACACUGGGACUGAGACGCGGUCCAGACUCCUACGGGAGGCAGCAGUGGGGAAUAUUGCACAAUGGGCGCAAGCCUGAUGCAGCCAUGCCGCGUGUAUGAAGAAGGCCUUCGGGUUGUAAAGUACUUUCAGCGGGGAGGAAGGCGUUAAGGUUAAUAACCUUGGCGAUUGACGUUACCCGCAGAAGAAGCACCGGCUAACUCCGUGCCAGCAGCCGCCGUAA